CGCGGUAUUUUGACUGUGCGAAGGUAGCAUAAUCAUUUGUCUUUUAAUUGAAGACUUGUAUGAAUGGCUGAACGAGAAAUUAACUGUCUCUUUAAAAAAUCUUGAAUUUUACUUUUAAGUGAAAAGGCUUAAAUAAUUUUAAGGGACGAUAAGACCCUAUAAAUCUUUAUAUUAUUUUUCUUUAACUUUCAAAUUAUAUAUUAAAAGAAAUAAAAGAAAAAAAUAUUAUAUUGGGGAGAUAAAAAUAUAAUUUUUAACUGUUUUAAGAAUAAAACAAUAAUUUUUGAUUUAUUAAAAAUUGAGCCUUUUUAAAGAUUUUAAGAUUAAGUUACUUUAGGGAUAACAGCGUAAUUUUUUUUGAGAGUUCUUAUCGAAAAAAAAGUUUGCGACCUCGAUGUUGAAUUAAAAUAUCCUUAUAGUGCAGAAGCUAUAAAGGAAAGUCUGUUCGACUUUUAAAAUUUUACAU
rnacentral:rRNA from 1 species